CUACUACUCCCUCCAUCCGAAAAUACUUGUCAUUGAAAUGGAUGUAUCUAGAUGUAUUUUAGUUCUAGACACAUCCAUUUUGAUGAUAAGUAAUUCCGGACGAAGGGAGUAUUAU
rnacentral:pre_miRNA from 1 species